rnacentral:rRNA from 1 species
GAUGAACGCUGGCGGCGUGCCUAAUACAUGCCAGUCGAGCGAACAGACGAGGAGCUUGCUCCUCUGACGUUAGCGGCGGACGGGUGAGUAACACGUGGAUAACCUACCUAUAAGACUGGGAUAACUUCGGGAAACCGGAGCUAAUACCGGAUAAUAUAUUGAACCGCAUGGUUCAAUAGUGAAAGACGGUUUUGCUGUCACUUAUAGAUGGAUCCGCGCCGCAUUAGCUAGUUGGUAAGGUAACGGCUUACCAAGGCAACGAUGCGUAGCCGACCUGAGAGAGUGAUAGACCACACUGGAACUGAGACACGGUCCAGACUCCUACGGGAGGCAGCAGUAGGGAAUCUUCCGCAAUGGGCGAAAGCCUGACGGAGCAACGCCGCGUGAGUGAUGAAGGUCUUCGGAUCGUAAAACUCUGUUAUUAGGGAAGAACAAAUGUGUAAGUAACUAUGCACGUCUUGACGGUACCUAAUCAGAAAGCCACGGCUAACUACGUG